CAUGGAAUGUACCGGCCUCCUGAUGUCAGAUCUGGGAGAAACCGAGGAGCUGAAAACAAAGAAGACAUCCAACUCCAGUGGGUCCCUCCCAGAGCACGUGAAGUGGGAUGGCUCAAACUGAGGACAAAGUUUUCAUUCUACAUUGGAGAUGAAUCCUAAAAUGCAACUGCUCCUGAGGGGACACACGACAACUCCGGCAACUUUAUAUCAAGAUGCAAAUGGCUCAUGUGAGUUGGAAAGAGGGGAACACCAAGAGCUCAGGGCAAGGCUGCCACAGGGACCGCGGGUGGGAGUGGCAGGCGUCCGGAGCAAACUCUGCCACCCGCACGGAUGUACCAAAGGAAACCAUGUAGUCAGCUUUGAAAAUAAAAGUCCAGGCAAUCUACGCUU